rnacentral:rRNA from 1 species
GACGAACGCUGGCGGCGUGCUUAACACAUGCAAGUCGAACGGUAAGGCCUUUCGGGGUCCACGAGUGGCGAACGGGUGAGUAACACGUUGGUGAUCUGCCCUGCACUUCGGGAUAAGCCCGGGAAACUGGGUCUAAUACCGGAUAGGACUGCGCGGUGCAUGCCGUGUGGUGGAAAGAUUUAUCGGUGCAGGAUGGGCCCGCGGCCUAUCAGCUUGUUGGUGGGGUAAUGGCCUACCAAGGCGACGACGGGUAGCCGGCCUGAGAGGGCGACCGGCCACACUGGGACUGAGACACGGCCCAGACUCCUACGGGAGGCAGCAGUGGGGAAUAUUGCACAAUGGGCGCAAGCCUGAUGCAGCGACGCCGCGUGAGGGAUGACGGCCUUCGGGUUGUAAACCUCUUUCAGCAGGGACGAAGCGUGAGUGACGGUACCUGCAGAAGAAGCACCGGCCAACUACGUG